rnacentral:tRNA from 1 species
ACUUUUCUAGUAUAAUAGUAUGUCAGUUUUCCAAACUGUAGGUCUACAAAACGUAGGGAAAGUA